rnacentral:rRNA from 1 species
GACAGAGGGUGCGAACGUUGUUCGGAAUUACUGGGCGUAAAGCGCGUGUAGGCGGCAGCGUGUGUCGGGCGUGAAAUCUCGGAGCUUAACUCCGAAACUGCAUUCGAUACUGCCGUGCUUGAGGACUGGAGAGGAGACUGGAAUUUACGGUGUAGCGGUGAAAUGCGUAGAUAUCGUAAGGAAGACCAGUGGCGAAGGCGGGUCUCUGGACAGUUCCUGACGCUGAGGCACGAAGGUCAGGGGAGCAAACGGG